rnacentral:rRNA from 1 species
UGGCGAACGGGUGAGUAACGGGUGGAAAACCUGCCCUUCAAUGGGGGAUAACAGUUCUAACGAGCUGCUAAUACCGCAUACGACCUUUGGAUCGCAUGUUCCGAAGGUGAAAGGUGGCCUCUCUUUGAAGCUGCCGUUGAAGGAUGGUUCCGCCUCCCAUUAGCUUGUUGGUGGGGUAAUGGCCUACCAAGGCGACGAUGGGUAGCCGGCCUGAGAGGGUGUCCGGCCACACUGGGACUGAGAUACGGCCCAGACUCCUACGGGAGGCAGCAGUCGAGAAGCUUCCGCAAUGGGCGAAAGCCUGACGGAGCGACGCCGCGUGAGUGAAGAAGGCCCUAUGGGUUGUAAAACUCUGUCAGAUUGGGAAGAAAGCACUGCGGUUAAUACCCGUGAUGUUUGACGGUACCAUCAGAGGAAGCACCGGCUAACUCCGUGCCAGCAGCCGCGGUAAUACGGAGGGUGCAAGCGUUGUUCGGAUUCACUGGGUAUAAAGGGUGCGCAGGCGGACUGAUAAGUCAGAGGUGAAAUAUGUCGGCUCAACCGGCAAACGGCCUCUGAAACUGCCAGUCUUGAGUUCGAGAGAGGUAGGUGGAAUUCCAGGUGUAGCGGUGAAAUGCGUAAAUAUCUGGAGGAACACCGGUGGCGAAGGCGGCCUACUGGCUCGAUACUGACGCUCAGGCACGAAAGCAUGGGGAGCGAACGGGAUUAGAUACCCCGGUAGUCCAUGCCGUAAACGAUGGGUACUAGGUGUUGGAGGAUUCUACCCCUUCAGUGCCGCAGCUAACGCAUUAAGUACCCCACCUGGGGAGUACGAUCGCAAGGUUGAAACUCAAAGGAAUUGACGGGGGCCCGCACAAGCGGUGGGAGCAUGUGGUUUAAUUCGAUGCAACGCGAAGAACCUUACCUGGACUUGACAUGCAGGGGACAGGUGUAGAAAUACACUCUUCUUCGGACUCCUGUACAGGUGCUGCAUGGCUGUCGUCAGCUCGUGUCGUGAAAUGUU